rnacentral:ncRNA from 1 species
UGGAACUUAGAAGUUCUUGAUGUUCUGUAUGGAACCAGCAAUGUUUGAACACGAUGUUCAAACAAGCCGCCAGUGAGCCAUGGACGGCGAAUUGGCGGCGGUUGCGUACGAUAACUAUACGUGUAUCAGAACAUCUAGCACUUCUUAGUUU